UGCUGAGGGUGAAAGGUCCUGAUCUUGCAAGUUCUUGCUCAAAUGGAAACUCAAUGGGACUACUAGGGUGAGGAGAAAUUAGUCACCCAACAGCAAUUGCAAAAUGAGGCUGAGUUCCACGACUAAAAUGGUAACAGCUCAAACAUGGAAAAGCUUAAUCAUUCUGCUGGAACAGGGCAAGCGGGAGUGUAAAAAUCUGUGAUUUUUAGAGAAGUGACCACGUCUGAAAACCACUGGAUAUGUUUUGAAAACAGAUGAGAACAUCCUGCUAAGUGCUUAGACUGCAAUGUUGUCUUAAAAAAUUGUUGUUUUUUUCUUUUGUUUUUAUAUUUAAUAUAGAUGAGCUACAGUGACUGCAGAAGGGUUUUGAAGCCAAAAUUGUAUUCAUGUCAAUAUUAACAAUGCUUUAGGCUAGACAGAAAGCUUGAAAGCUAUGCGUUAACAUAAAUAAAAAUCAGUGGAUUUUUGGAAUGACUUCAUUCUGUGACCUUAAAAAGAGUUUCCUUGGCACAGUAAGAUGACCUUAUCCUUGAAAAAAUGUACUACAUGGCAGGAAUGUAUUAUGUGGCAGAAAUGUCUUUAUUUCUAUUGCAAAGAGGGGUCCUGACACAGGACAGAAAACCUACUUUUAUUCCAAGCAAUCCAGCUUGUACAUAUGAAACCCAGAGAGAAUGAACACAUCAGGACAGCACCAUGCCAACUGUCUGACUCCUGAGAUAAGGGUUUGCUAGAAGAGGCAGACCCACUUCCAAGACUCAAGGACUGUCCAGAUGGCAUGCCCAGAUCCUGCAUGAGGACUCUGCCACACAUGACCAGCUUCAAAGCCAUUUGUAUCAAAAUGCAUUUUCAAGAGGAGAAGAUCCCUAAAUCUGAAUCCUUCAAAACAUCACAGUUAAUGCAGUAGCAAUGUGUAGUUCUCAGCUUCUGAAAGGGCACCUAAUCUUUUGAAUUGCUGGUCCCAUCGCCCUUUGCUCCUUUUGUGACAUUUCUGAAUUUCCCUCUGAGAGAUAACGAUCUCAUGAAUACUUACGUAACUUCAUAAUUUCCUUCUUAUCUGUAGUUUGUGGAAGUUACUCCCUAGCUGAAGGUUAGAAAUGGAAAAUUUCUCCAGCACAAAAUUCCUUCAUUAGGACAUCUUGGUGGUUCUCUCAUGGAGAAAUUAAUGGGCAAUACAGAAAUCCUUUCUAUUGUUACAACGCAAUUGAUUCUCUUUCUCCUCUAUCUUUUCCACUGGGAGAAAAAAAUAAAUAAAUGUCUCUUUGAA